rnacentral:rRNA from 1 species
UACCGGCGGCUCGAGUGGUGGCCGCUAUUACUGGGCUUAAAGCGUUCGUAGCUGGGCUGUUAAGUCCCCUGGGAAAUCCACCGGCUCAACCGAUGGGCGUUCAGGGGAUACUGGCAGCCUAGGGACCGGGAGAGGUGAGGGGUACUCCAGGGGUAGGAGUGAAAUCCUGUAAUCCUUGGGGGACCACCUGUGGCGAAGGCGUCUCACUAGAACGGCUCCGACAGUGAGGAACGAAAGCUGGGGGAGCAAA